GUAAAACAUUAGGGUUGAAGCAGGUAGUGCGAGACCUACAGUGAAGCCUGGAACUCUAAUUAUCCUCUUUAUUAUUUUCUUCAAACCUAAGCAUAGAAGGUCUUUAAAAUCUAGACUUAGAAUAUGCCCUUAAUAUUCAAAAAGGGCAAUUAGUGGUUGGGAAUGGAGGAAGGGGUAGAGGAAGAGAGGAUCUUUCCCAUUAUGAUCAAUGAGAUUCAAGAAUAUUAAUUCCACAUUGGCCUUCAGAAAUACAAUAUGAAUCAAAACAUUGUCCUUUAUUCACACUAAAGAUACCUUUCAACAUGUGAGCUAGGCUAGUACCUUAAGCUCUACUUGAAUCUCAAUGAAAGUGGAAUGAGACAUUCUAUGGGAGCACUUUGUCUCAUCACAGAUUCAGAAAAUCUGAGAUGGAGGGGACCUUCAAAUUCAGUCCCUCAAAUUUGUACCUUGAACACAAAGAUUUUGGAAGACCUUCGCUGCAGGGAAAUUUUCUUCCAUUUGGUGAGAAAACUGAAACUGGGAGAAGUGGUGUAAUUUGCUCAAAUUGACCCAAAUAAAAUGAUUUA